UACGUAGGCAGCGAGCGUUGUUCGGAGUUACUGGGCGUAAAGAGUGCGUAGGCGGUUUUCUAAGUCUGAUGUGAAAGCCCACGGCUCAACCGUGGAGGGUCAUUGGAAACUGGGGAACUUGAGUGCAGGAGAGAAGAGUGGAAUUCCACGUGUAGCGGUGAAAUGCGUAGAGAUGUGGAGGAACACCAGUGGCGAAGGCGACUCUUUGGCCUGUAACUGACACUGAGGCGCGAAAGCGUGGGGAGCAAACAGG
rnacentral:rRNA from 1 species